rnacentral:rRNA from 1 species
UCUGAUCUUGGACCUCUUCGCUACUUUCUUGGGAUUGAAGUCUCUUCUACCUCUGAUGGCUUUUUUAUAUCCCAGGAAAAGUAUAUCCAGGAUCUUCUUGCUCGUGCUGCUCUUACUGACGAGCGCGUUGUUGAGACUCCUAUGGAGCUCAAUGUUCACCUCCGUGCUACUGAUGGUGAUCCUCUCCCUGACCCGACGCGUUAUCGUCAUCUUGUUGGCAGUCUUGUCUAUUUAGCUGUCACUCGUCCGGACAUCUCUUAUCCGGUUCAUAUUCUGAGUCAGUUUGUCUCUGCCCCCACCUCGGUUCACUAUAGUCAUCUCCUUCGUGUUCUUCGAUAUCUUCGAGGCACGAUCUCUCACCAGCUAUUCUUUCCUCGCUCCAGUUCUUUACAGCUCCAGGCCUAUUCGGAUGCUACGUGGGCUAGUGAUCCUUCUGAUCGCCGUUCACUUUCUGCUUACUGUGUUUUUCUUGGUGGUUCUCUCAUUGCCUGGAAGACGAAGAAACAGCUUGCAGUUUCCCGUUCGAGUGCCGAGGCUGAGUUGCGAGCAAUGGCUCUUUUGACGGCAGAGGUGACUUGGUUACGGUGGUUACUUCAGGAUUUUGGUGUUUCUAUCACU